rnacentral:rRNA from 1 species
CAAUAGCGUAUAUUAAAGUUGUUGCAGUUAAAAAGCUCGUAGUUGGGUUUCUGGCAGGAGCGACCGGUCACACACUCUGUGUGUGAACUUGCGUUGUCUCUGGCCAUCCUUGGGAAGAUCCUGUUUGGCAUUAAGUUGUCGGGCAGGGGAUACCCAUCGUUUACUGUGAAAAAAUUAGAGUGUUUAAAGCAGGCUUAUGCCGUUGAAUAUAUUAGCAUGGAAUAAUAAGAUAGGACUUCGGAACUAUUUUGUUGGUUUGCGUUACGAAGUAAUGAUUAAUAGGGACAGUUGGGGGUAUUCGUAUUUCGUUGUCAGAGGUGAAAUUCUUGGAUUUCCGAAAGACGAACUACUGCGAAAGCAUUUACCAAGGAUGUUUUCAUUAA